AGCUGGUUUCAUAUGGUGGUUUAGA
rnacentral:miRNA from 3 species